ensembl:snRNA U6 U6 spliceosomal RNA
GUGCUACUUCUGCAGCACAUAGAGUAAAAUUGUAACGAUACAGAGAAGAUUAGCAAGGCCAUGUGCAAAGUUGACACAAAAAUCCAUGAAGUGUUUUAUGUUUUU